rnacentral:rRNA from 1 species
UACAGAGGUCUCAAGCGUUGUUCGGAUUCAUUGGGCGUAAAGGGUGCGUAGGCGGCGGGGUAAGUCUGAUGUGAAAUCCUGGGGCUCAACCCCAGAACUGCAUUGGAUACUGCCUUGCUAGAGUACUGGAGAGGAAACUGGAAUUUACGGUGUAGCAGUGAAAUGCGUAGAGAUCGUAAGGAAGACCAGUGGCGAAGGCGAGUUUCUGGACAGUAACUGACGCUGAGGCACGAAGGCCAGGGGAGCAAACGGG